rnacentral:rRNA from 1 species
UACGUAGGGUGCGAGCGUUUGUCCGGAAUUAUUGGGCGUAAAGAGCUUGUAGGCGGUUUGUCGCGUCUGCUGUGAAAAUCCGAGGCUCAACCUCGGACUUGCAGUGGGUACGGGCAGACUAGAGUGUGGUAGGGGAGACUGGAAUUCCUGGUGUAGCGGUGAAAUGCGCAGAUAUCAGGAGGAACACCGAUGGCGAAGGCAGGUCUCUGGGCCACUACUGACGCUGGAGGCGCGAAAGCUAGGGGGAGCAAACAGG